AUUGAACGCUGGCGGUAUGCUUAACACAUGCAAGUCGAACGAUGAGAAAGAGCUUGCUCUUUCGAUUAGUGGCGGACGGGUGCGUAACGCGUAGGAAUCUACCUAUUAGUGGGGGACAACUUAGGGAAACUUAAGCUAAUACCGCAUACGCCCUACGGGGGAAAGAAGGGGAUCGCAAGACCUUUUGCUAAUAGAUGAGCCUGCGUAGGAUUAGCUAGUUGGUGGGGUAAAAGCUCACCAAGGCGACGAUCCUUAACUGGUUUGAGAGAAUGAUCAGUCACACUGGGACUGAGACACGGUCCAGACUCCUACGGGAGGCAGCAGUGGGGAAUAUUGGACAAUGGGCGAAAGCCUGAUCCAGAAAUACCGCGUGUGUGAAGAAGGCCUUAGGGUUGUAAAGCACUUUCAAUUGGAAGGAAAACCUCGAAGCUAAUACCUUCGAGUUUGACAUUACCUUUAGAAGAAGCACCGGCUAACUCCGUGCCAGCCGCCGCAGUAA
rnacentral:rRNA from 1 species